rnacentral:lncRNA from 1 species
AUGAGCAGGGAAGGAGAUCAAAGCCAUGACGGAGCAAAGGGGCCUUCGCUGGGAGCUCGGCCGUUGGCAGAAGAGACAUUGCAAGCCAUAGCUUCCUCGACGGGGUACCCCAAGCCGGACGGCGUGACUCAGAGAAUUCCCAGAGGGGGAAGAGGCGUUCCGGCGGCGGCAGAAACCAGUUGGGGAUCUGGAGGAAGCAUGCCGGAGACCGUGGCCCUGCGGCUAUCCAUCCUGGAAACUCAUUUAUCCAGGCUGUCGGAUACCGUGGGGAGAAUAGUGCCAAUAUUGGAAGAGAAUCUCCAAAAAGAGCACAUCCGAUAUGGCGCCGAGAGAGAGCCAAGCAAAGGAGAUGAUUGGAGCCAGAGGGGACAGAGGGCUUCAACGCAGAGUCCCGCGGUGGCAAGGGACGAGGGAGACGAGGAAUAUUGGCAAGAGCUUGAGUUCCGGGACAGAAUGGCGCGCGAAGUGGAGCGCCAGCAAACCCUGGGAAUUCUGAGGCCGCCAACCCCAACAGAGCUCCCAACCCCCCGAAUGGGAGUCGGAGUAGAAAGACCACUGGGGCCAGGGAUCGGGUCCAGUGGAUUAGCAGACGAAGGCGGAGAGCAGCAGGAGAUCCAGGAAGAGGAGGAGGAUGUGCCGUACGACGAGGAAAGGCGAGAUGCGGGAGCUACAGCGAGGCCAAUAUGCGGAUGGGGUGAAGGGCCGACAGCGGCGGCAGGAUUUCGGGAGCCGCGCAGAAUGACCACCGGAGUGGGGCGCGGCGUGUUCCAAGGGGCCAUCCAAGGAAACCCGAUGCAACCCUUCCCCAUGCCUCCCAGACAGCAUCAACGGGCCGCUGAAUGGAUGCAAAGAAGGGAAGAUCUCAAGCUAGAAUUCGGAGGGGAAUCAGAUGAACUGAACUUUUUUCUAAUUAGCAUCAGAGGAUACAUGGAAGACAACGCACACACAUUCCCCUCCGAAGCAAGCAGGGUCCGAGCCAUCGGCAACACACUAAAGCGAGGAGCGGCCGCUGGUACGUGCAACUACAUGCCAGACGCGACCCAUGCCUGA